GACGAACGCUGGCGGCGUGCUUAACACAUGCAAGUCGAACGGAAAGGCCCUGCUUUUGUGGGGUGCUCGAGUGGCGAACGGGUGAGCAGCACGUGAGUAACCUGCCCUUGACUUUGGGAUAACUUCAGGAAACUGGGGCUAAUACCGGAUAGGAGCUCCUGCUGCAUGGGGGGGGUUGGAAAGUUUCGGCGGUUGGGGAUGGACUCGCGGCUUAUCAGCUUGUUGGUGGGGUAGUGGCUUACCAAGGCUUUGACGGGUAGCCGGCCUGAGAGGGUGACCGGCCACAUUGGGACUGAGAUACGGCCCAGACUCCUACGGGAGGCAGCAGUGGGGAAUAUUGCACAAUGGGCGGAAGCCUGAUGCAGCAACGCCGCGUGCGGGAUGACGGCCUUCGGGUUGUAAACCGCUUUCGCCUGUGACGAAGCGUGAGUGACGGUAAUGGGUAAAGAAGCACCGGCUAACUACGUG
rnacentral:rRNA from 1 species